rnacentral:tRNA from 1 species
AAGUAAGAAGCAAAUUAAUUGUAAUCAGUUUCGACCUGAUAGGAAGGUAAUGCUAUUUAUCCUUAUUUA